rnacentral:lncRNA from 1 species
UGAUAUCAUUUACUUAGUGAUUGAAAUGAUUCAAAAUCCAUAAUUUUAAUGGUUGAUAUCUGCCGUUUUCAAGUUUAAAGAUGUAGAAGUAUUCAAAUCAGAUGAAAUUUUGAUAUAAAAUUCUUUAUACUAUCUACAACAAGAUUAAUAUUUCUGAUCGAAAAUUUUAGUGCUAUAUCACCACUUUUUAUAGGAUUUUUAUUUUCAGCCGUUAAAAAUUAUUGAUUUUGAAUCCUUUCGAUUGCUAGAUAAAUAAUAUUGAAAAAUCGCAAAAAUUAUUUUUUAAAAACUUCGAAAACGGCUAAGGAGCACGGAGGCCUCCGUGCUCCUGAGCCGUUUUCGAUGAUAGAGUUUUCGAAUCGACGAUCGGCUCCGUUAGACUUGAUCUAGCGUAUUUGAAGUUUUUAGAAAUUAAAUUUGACUAGACUUGAUCUAGCGGAUUUACCGA